rnacentral:rRNA from 1 species
UGGUCUAGCCAGGCGGUGAUUAACAUGCACAGAAAAACCAAAAACCGUCUUAAACCCAACACGUUACUGUCUUUAGUCGUUUUCCUAUGGAGUUCAACCAUACUCUAAGUCUCUAAGUGUACUCCGGACCCACAAAACCCAUCUUAUACCCCCAGUGUAUCCAAAACUACACUCCUUUUCUACGUAGUUGAAUUCGUUUAAACUACCUUUCCGCUGAAGUACGUCUAAACAAACAAGGUUACUUCCGUAAUCUUCCUUCCCUGUUUGGCUGGCACUCGGUUUUGUAAAAUCUCGACUUUGUUCUUGAUUAACAUCUCAAGUCUACCAAUAAUCUAACCUAGCUCGACGUCUUUUAAUACUUCAAUGACUACAACUUGACCUUGUGUUGGUGAUAGAAGUUAACGGUGUUUGUGCGGUGAACAACCGACGUACAACAUCUCAUAACCUACCUUUAUUGUUUAAACGAUAAUGGUAACCCUCAAACGUACCACUAAACGACAAACUCCUCCUCGUGUAUCACUAUCCACUAGGAAACUGG